ACUCUCACGAAAGGACAAACUUUCUUCUGUUAAUCUGUUGUAAUCCUUAUGAUUACAGUGAUCAAUGUUAAAGGUAUAGAUACGUUUCGAAGGUAAACGAUGUCCUUCGUACGUCAGUCAAAGGUCCUCUUUCACUCUCUCUCUUUCUCUCUCUCCCUCUCUCUCUCUCCCUCUUUCUCUCGAAACAGUUUGAACUCAAUUGUCGUUCGAGCAUAAUGUCGAAGUUUCAAGUAAUUUUCUCGUAACUCGUUUCUCUUCGGCUUUCUACGAUCGUAAAGUUCCCUUCCCUCUCCCUACCUUCGUCCUACCAAAUUUAAAAAGUUAAUAAGAAGUAGCAUGGAAGUUAAACGUUUCCCCUUCGCGCCCACCAUAGGCGACGGACAUUAAUGUUGAAAUUAGUAUCGCUGCUAACGGAGUUCUUCUCGGUCGUCUGGAGUUUGGUGAUGGAAGGACGAAAAGGAUAGAGAGGAUAAGAGGGAGAAUAAUGUGGAGAGAGUUUGGUGAAGCGAGACGAGCUCGCUAUAAAAUCCUUUACGAUCUUGCUUCAUAAAACAUGACUUGCGAAGACGUUUAUGCAAGACUCGUCUGACAUUACCUGUACAUCUUUGAUGUUACUUAUAAUCUAAUAAAAAUUUAUUCGUCAUAUAUAAAUAAAUAGAUAAUUGUGUUGAAUAGAUAAAAUAAAAAAGUAUAAAUUUAAAUGCGAUUCGUGUAAACGAGAAUCAUUGGAUGCGUCCCUGAGACGAAGAGAAUGGGAUGAGGAAGGGAGUAAGCAGCCUCCGCACUUCGAAGAAGCUCGGUCCAGAACUAAUCGUCAAAAUAUAUAGUAAGCGCUAGGAUGAGGGUAGAAAGGCCGCCCGGGUGAAACACCUGCUCGAUUUGACAAGAUACCCACCGUAGCCUCCUCCUGCACAAUAAUAAUAACACAAGAGAUGAAGAAGAAGAAGAAGAGGAAGAAGAAGAAGAAGAAGAAGAAGAAGAAGAAGAAGAAGAUGAAGAAGAAGAAGAAGAACGGAUGCUGGGAUAUACUGGGUAACGCAGAAAGAUUAUUGCAAGACGUAGAACCGCUGCGAGCGAUGCUGCCGCUACGAGAGCAAGCUGCAGCUUUAGAGAUGAUCCAGUCUAUCGGAGAUACGAUUAUAAGGAAGAAAAAUUUGUGACUUUACGUUAUCAUUGAAGCUUCGAAUUUCAUCCGUGGAUUUUAUCUUAAUUGGACGAUAUCAGAGCUCUUUUGAUUCUUUUAUACAAACUAAACGAACGUCGAUAUGACAUGAAAGAAGAAGAAGGAGAAGAAGAAAAAAAAAAGAAAAAAAAAACAGAAAAGAAAAUAAAAAUAAAAGAAAAUAGCUGGUAAUUUGAUCUAAAGAAAAAUUUAAUUAACUCAAAACGGACGUAGAACGAGAAUGUCGUUAAUGGAAAUCGAUGCAAGUGAAAGUUAAUUGUAAUGUGCACGCGGUCGUGAUUUAUGGCAGUGCUGAUGGAUCUGCCAGCGGACAAACGACUCGAUCUUAAGAGGAAAACGGAAUCUCGGGGGCGACCACUUGAUCUAUAGUUUCGUGCCUGAGUAUACUUUUUGGUACGAACAAAUCUAUUUGGGCUUUCUUUGCGUGCGACCGACGAAAUUCGUGAUCUCUAGACGAAAUACAAUUCGAGUAUUUAUUCGUCUAUUAGAUGUCUCUCAGAAUGAUAUAUACAUAUAUAUAUAUAUAUAUAUAUAUAUAUAUAUAUAUAUAUAAAAUGUCUCGGAAAUAUUUGCCUUUUGCAAAAAAUUAGAUAUGCGAUAGGAAAUGAAAUAGAAAAGAUUUUUUUUUCUUUAUUUAAUACUUUUCAUCGAUAUCGAAACGAUAAGUUUUAUUUUUCAUUAUUAAAAUAAUUAUGAUAUAAAAUAUGUUAUAACAAAUUUGUAAAAUUAUAAACGCUUUAACAUACUUUGUUCGUUCAUAUAACAUUGUAUCUGUUGUAUAAUAACAUAAGCACGUUCUUGAUGGAUAAUAUUUAUGACCUUGAUCGUCAAUGUUGAAUGACAUAAAUGAUUUACGCGUAUACGCUCAGUUUGUCUACUGUGUCCGUACAGGUGUUUCAUUAUUCAACAAAUAGCGAUAUACACUGAAUUAUUUAAAUCAGUAUACGGGCUGGAAUUAUGAUUAUGGUGACAUCGAUUUAU